GAAGAAGAAGAAGAAGUGUGUGGAAGGACGAAAGAAAGGACCGGCAGGAUUGGGGCGGGUCGGGGGUCAGGUAGGUUAGGGUAGUAGUAUGGAGAGGAGAUGAACCAGAAAGCAGAGUUAAGGGCAUAUAUAUAUAUAUAUAUAAGAAGGAAGCAUAAGCUCGUACGAAAAAGAUGAAAAGAGAAAAGAAGAGGCUUUUGCCGAAGGGGAGGGCUGAAGAACAGAGAAUAAAAAAAAAAAGACCGUUAGGAAGAAAAAAGAAGCAUAAUGCAAAAAGGGAGACACGUAGGAGAAUUCAAAGAUGGCGCGUAGAUGGCGCGCGAGUCGCGCGUGGUGGUGCUGCUGCUCUUGGUGGUGGUGGUGGUGGGGGGAGGUUACAAACUAACACCCCCACCAUGUAGCACACGGCGCAGAAAACUCUCGUUGAAGCUGAGCAAACGCGAAGCAAGAGUCAGUCGCGCGCCGAACAUCAACAGUGUUUCUCGAGACGAGAAGAAGAAUUUCACGGUGAAAAUCGUGAAGCAGGACGCGAAUGGUACGGUUGAAAGAAGAAGAAGAAGAAGAAGACGAAGACGAAGGUGAAGGAGAGGGGAGGGGAGCAGAGGGGUGGUUUGAAACGCGGCUUUUCUCGAACGGUGGGUAUAAAUAUAGUUUGGUCGAUGAUGGUGGUGGUGGUUGGUCGUCUCCCUCGCCUAACAUUUCCUCGAUGUAUUGCCACGGAAAUUGGCUCUCUCUGUGGAAGAAGAAGAAGUAAGA
rnacentral:lncRNA from 1 species